CAUGCUGUUGCCAAUCCUUUAGUAUCUGAUAUCUAAAGGUUUAUUUAUAAGAAGAAAAGUGAUAGUGAAAAUUGGUUAAAGGACUCAAAUACACACAAUAAUUGCAAAGUUAUUGGAUCAGGCUUGAAAGAGAGCUUGGAAGAGGAGGAG